AAGUGACUAGAUUUUAUCACUCAGCAGACACGUCUCGAAGACCGAGUGUGUGUCAGAUGCUGUCGGUGUGGGUGUGCGGUGUCAGUGAACAAGCAAGAAAACAGAGGUCCCUGCGCUGACACGCGGGGUCCUUACAAACACCCAGAGUGCGAGCCCGCCUCCAAACAAACCGAGAGGCAGGGUGCUGUCAAGUUCAUUAACAGACAUGGCUCAGAAGAUCCAGCGAGGGGCCACUACCCUGCUCCGGAAGACUGACUGUCUUAAACAGAUAUAGGCCUUACUGCAAAAGCACGAAGCAGGGAAUGUGGGGUCAGGACGACGCGGCGCCAGCCUGCAGCCGAACACCUUGCAUUGUCCUCACCUUGACCUGACCAGGGAGCUGUGGCCAUCGCUCGAUUCACAGGUAAUAUGGAUUGCAGUUUCAGCCCCAAAUGGUGCUCAAACGUUAAGCAGACAUCACGGAACUCUGGGGGGCUGAGAGUGGACGGGGGCGUUGGAAGACUGCGUGUGUUUUAAAAGCCAGUGCCUACAAGCUCUCAGCACCUUGAAGGCCUGUCUGGAAACCACUGAUUGUCACGAUCCCUGGAAAAUGGAGGCACUUCAGUUCUACGGGAGACAGGAAGCCAGCUUGUCUUGAGUUUUAUGAGUUUCUCUUUAAUUCUUACAACAACCCCCCCCAAAUGUGCUUAUUAAAACACUGGGAGAAGGAUUUGUUUCAGCUGCUGGCAAGCUUUCUGUGCGUAGUGUGGGGGGGCAGCUUUUCGGUUGUUUUGUUUUCCACUCGGGACAGCUGUGUCGAAGGCCUCUGCCAACCGCCGUGUGAGCCAGUGACGAGAUGAAAGCAAAUGCUUUUUCAGGGCUGCUGGAGGAGCUGGACCACCAACUACUACGGCCAGCUUUCAACUCUGGGGACUUGUGGGCGUGGCCGGUUCUGCACGGGGCGCAGGAGACACGACCCCAUCCUGCACGUGCAUCGUGGGGGCAGGCUUGCGAGGUGCAGCGUGACAAAGAGGGGCUUGCAAAAAGUGCCCUGCUGCAUUUUCUUAGAAGA